CUAGGGCGGCAGCAGUGGGGAAUAUUGGACAAUGGGCGAAAGCCUGAUCCAGCCAUGCCGCGUGUGUGAAGAAGGCCUUCGGGUUGUAAAGCACUUUCAGUGGGGAAGAAAGCCUUGGGGCUAAUACCCUCGAGGAAGGACAUCACCCACAGAAGAAGCACCGGCUAACUCCGUGCCAGCAGCCGCGGUAAUACGGAGGGUGCGAGCGUUAAUCGGAAUUACUGGGCGUAAAGCGCGCGUAGGCGGUCUGAUAAGCCGGUUGUGAAAGCCCCGGGCUCAACCUGGGAACGGCAUCCGGAACUGUCAGGCUAGAGUGCAGGAGAGGAAGGUAGAAUUCCCGGUGUAGCGGUGAAAUGCGUAGAGAUCGGGAGGAAUACCAGUGGCGAAGGCGGCCUUCUGGACUGACACUGACGCUGAGGUGCGAAAGCGUGGGUAGCAAACAGGAUUAGAUACCCCGGUAGUC
rnacentral:rRNA from 1 species